rnacentral:rRNA from 1 species
AUUGAACGCUGGCGGCAGGCCUAACACAUGCAAGUCGAGCGAGCGGCGGACGGGUGAGUAAUGUAUGGGGACUGCCCGAUAGAGGGGGAUAACUACUGGAAACGGUAGCUAAUACCGCAUACUAUCGGAUAACCCAUAUGGGAUUAGCUAGUAGGUGGGGUAAUGGCUCACCUAGGCGACGAUCCGUAGCUGGUUUGAGAGGACGACCAGCCACACUGGAACUGAGACACGGCCCAGACUCCUACGGAGGCAGCAGUGGGGAAUUUUGGACAAUGGGGGCAACCCUGAUCCAGCCAUCCCGCGUGUAUGAAGAAGGCCUUCGGGUUGUAAAGUACUUUUGGCAGAGAAGCGGUAUCUGCAGAAGAAGCACCGGCUAACUACGUGCCAGCAGCCGCGGUAAUAC